AAUAUUAGGAUGAUGAAAAAUUUUUCGGAUGUAAAUCAUUGUCUACUGAGGCGCAAACCGUGCUGAUAAUCUCCGUUGCCUUCCUUCUGACGCAUGAUAU
rnacentral:snoRNA from 1 species